rnacentral:snRNA from 1 species
GAAUGUGAGGGUGAUCUGGCUGUGACAUCUGUCACCCCAUUGAUCGCCAGGGUUGAUUUGGCUGAUCUGGCUGGCUAGGUGGGUGUCCUCUUUCUCCCUCAACACUCCAUGUGCGUCCCUCCCAAAGCUGCGUGCUUGGUCGAAGAGGACAACCACCCCCGAUAGAGGAGGACCGUUCCUUGGUCAAGGGUAUACGAAUAGUUGCGCUCCCCAGCUAGAACCUCGAAACAAGCUCUCAAGGUUCAUGCCAACAUCCAUUUGGCUCUGGUGAGGACUUCCUGGGCUGUGUCACACCUUGGAUGGCAUCGAGGUGGACGUGUGUGUGU